rnacentral:rRNA from 1 species
UACGUAGGGGGCAAGCGUUGUCCGGAUUCAUUGGGCGUAAAGAGCGUGUAGGCGGCCAGGUAGGUCGGUUGUGAAAACCGGAGGCUCAACCUUCAGACGUCGACCGAAACCACCUGGCUAGAGUCCGGGAGAGGAGAGUGGAAUUCCUGGUGUAGCGGUGAAAUGCGCAGAUAUCAGGAGGAACACCGGUGGCGAAGGCGGGUCUCUGGGCCGUAACUGACGCUGAGGAGCGAAAGUGUGGGGAGCGAACAGG